rnacentral:rRNA from 1 species
GAGUCUUUGAACGCAAGUUGCGCCCAAAGCCUUUAGGUUGAGGGCACGUCUGCCUGGGCGUCA